rnacentral:misc_RNA from 1 species
GUUCAACAUUUCAUCUUAUGUACACUGUAGACUGACUGUUUUCUUCCUAAAACAAAAAUAUAGUAAUGGUGUUGGUAUCAUCAGCAUCUCCUUUUGGCCUACUCUAAAAGGAACACUAAUCUUGUUUCCAGUUCUGGACAUCAGAAUUCUAAUCGACUAAACGAAAGCCCCCAUCUGCGAAAGACGGCAAGAUACAGCUCAGUAUAAUAGCACUUGUUGUCUCCAAGCAUACUAAAAAAUGGCUGGUCCUCUCGAUCUGGGGGAUAAAUCAGCUUGUCUAGAUCUUCUCAGCGGCAGCAGCUGCUGCUGAAGCUGCAUCAUUGAAGCCCAACUUCUGUAACUCGUUUAAGAAACCAUCCAUAUCGGCUGCACCAAUCUUAUAUGGGCUGUGAGCAGAGCCAGGAAAUGAACCAUUAGUUACUUCUUCCUUGUAUUCCAGAAGAGCUUUGUUGAUAACAUCUCCAACUUGUCCAAACUGUUUACAGAACUUAGGAGUAACCUUGGCAUGGUGCGGGUGUUGCAUCAUCCCAAGAAGAUCAUGAUAAACUAGCACCUGACCACUGCAGAAAGGCCCAGCGCCAAUUCCAAUAGUGGGGAUCCUAAGAGCAGAUGUAGUUGCUGCAGCAACAGGUGCAGGCACACAUUCCAAAACAACAGAAAAGCACCCUGCUUCCUGCAAGGCCAUGGCAGUUUCUACAACCUUGACUGCACUAUCAAUGUUUCUGCCUUGAGGCCUAAAUCCACCAAGAACACUGAUGGCCUGAGGUGUUAAUCCCACAUGCCCUAUUACAGCAAUCCCCGCUUCAACAAUAGCUUUAGCUGCUGUAAUUCUUGAUGGUGCCCCACCUUCCAACUUAAUCGCAUCCAUUCCUCCUUCCUUUAGAACUCUUACAGCUGU